AUUGAACGCUGGCGGCAGGCCUAACACAUGCAAGUCGAACGAGUGGCGGACGGGUGAGUAAUGUCUGGGAAACUGCCCGAUGGAGGGGGAUAACCACUCGAAACGGGAGCUAAUACCGCCUACCAUCGGAUGUGCCCCGAUGGGAGUAGCUUGUAGGUGAGGUAACGGCUCACCUAGGCGACGAUCCCCAGCUGGUCUGAGCGGAUGACCAGGCAAACGGGAAAUGAGACACGGUCCAGACGCCUACGGGAGGCAGCAGGGGGGAAUAUUGCACAAUGUGCGCAAGCCGGAUGCAGCCAUGCCGCGUGUAUGAAGAAGGCCUUCGGGUUGUAAAGUACUUGCAGCGGGGAGGCGUUACCCGCAGAAGAAGCACCGGCUAACUCCGUGCCAGCCGCCGCGGUAAUAC
rnacentral:rRNA from 1 species